AUCUCGGUCGGCACUUUUAUUAUUCUCAAAGCCGCAAGAGGAAAACUGGAAAUCAUGUCUACGGCGGGCCAGUCAGAACGCGCAAUUUCAUAUGCCUCUUUAAUAUUACAUGAUUGCGGCAUUUCUAUCACAGAGGCAAAACUUUUGGCUUUAUUGAAUGCAGCAAAAAUAACAGUUGAGCCAUACUGGAUUUCUCUAUUUAAUAGAGCCCUUCAGUCUGUGACGAUUGAUUCGUUAAUUUUCAGUGUAGGAGCUUCUCCUAGUAGUGCUGCUGUGUCUGCGCCCACGGAAGUCCCGGCCGAAUCUGCUGAAUCUAAAGAACCUGAGGCCGAAAGCAAGAAGAAGGAAGAAUCUGAAGACGAAGGUGCAGAUAUGUCAUUUGGUAUAUUUGAUGACGAAGACUAUUAAGUCCUUUCUCUCCCUUUAAUGCCCCUUCCCCUCUUUUCAGCCCUCUCUACCAUUUUUCUCUGAUAACGCAAUAAAAAAUUUUUAGCUAUC